AACCUCGAAAUCAGAAGCCCAAUUCAAAAGAGUAAGGAAGAGUGGUGGUAGCCGGAUGAUGAAGAACUCGCCGGAGCAGUCUCUCUCUGUCUCUAAAUUCCUUUUAUGGAUUUGGUUUUAGGGGAAGAAAAUGGCAUCUUGAAAGUGUUGAGAGAGAGAGUCACCAAACCUCGAAAUCAAAAGCCCAACCUCGAAAUCAAAAGCCCAAUUCAAAAGAGUAAGGAAGAGUGGUGGUGGCCGGAUGAUGAAGAACUUGCCGGAGCAGUCUCUCUCUGUCUCUAAAUUCCUUUUAUGGAUUUGGUUUUAGGGGAAGAAAAUGGCAUCUUGAAAGUGUCACCAAACCCAGUUUCAGCUCCAGCUUCAUCGCCAGACCCAGCUUGAACUUUGCCCUCUGUCUCUUAAUUCCUUUUUCUGGAUUUGGUUUGAAGAGAAGGAAAUGGCAUCUUGAAUGUG
rnacentral:lncRNA from 1 species